GGACCCAUAGCUCAAUUGGUAGAGCAUUCGACUCUUAAUCGACAGGUUGAAGGUUCAAGUCCUUCUGGGUCCGCCA
rnacentral:tRNA from 2 species